AUCGAACGCUGGCGGCAGGCCUAACACAUGCAAGUCGAACGAGUGGCGGACGGGUGAGUAAUGUCUGGGAAACUGCCUGAUGGAGGGGGAUAACUACUGGAAACGGUAGCUAAUACCGCAUACCAUCGGAUGUGCCCAGAGGGGAUUAGCGAGUAGGUGGGGUAAAGGCGCACCUGGGCGACGAUCCCUAGUUGGUUUGAGAGGAUGACCAGCAACACUGGAACUGAGACACGGUCCAGACUCCUACGGGAGGCCGGGGUGGGGAAGAUGGGACAAUGGGAGCAAGCCUGAUGCAGCCAUGCCGCGUGUAUGAAGAGGGCAUUCGGGUUGUAAGGUUCUUUCAGCGGGGAGGCGUUACCCGCAGAAGAAGCGCCGGCUAACUCCGUGCCAGCAGCCGCGGUAAUAC
rnacentral:rRNA from 1 species